rnacentral:miRNA from 17 species
CAGGCCACAUUGUGCUGCCACA